rnacentral:rRNA from 1 species
CUCGUAGGCGGUUCGUCGCGUCCGGUGUGAAAGUCCAUCGCUUAACGGUGGAUCCGCGCCGGGUACGGGCGGGCUUGAGUGCGGUAGGGGAGACUGGAAUUCCCGGUGUAACGGUGGAAUGUGUAGAUAUCGGGAAGAAACACCAAUGGCGAAGGCAGGUCUCUGGGCCGUCACUGACGCUGAGGAGCGAAAGCGUGGGGAGCGAACA